CUUAGCGGCGGACGGGUGAGUAAUACUUAGGAAUCUGGCUAUUAUGGGGGGACAACAUUUCGAAAGGGAUGCUAAUACCGCAUACGUCCUACGGGAGAAAGCAGGGGAUCAGUAAUGACCUUGCGCUAAUAGAUGAGCCUAAGUCGGAUUAGCUAGUUGGUGGGGUAAAGGCCUACCAAGGCGACGAUCUGUAGCGGGUCUGAGAGGAUGAUCCGCCACACUGGGACUGAGACACGGCCCAG
rnacentral:rRNA from 1 species